ACGCUCGACACCUACGAGAGGCAGCAGUAGGGAAUCUUCCACAAUGGACGCAAGUCUGAUGGAGCAACGCCGCGUGAGUGAAGAAGGUCUUCGGAUCGUAAAACUCUGUUGUUAGAGAAGAACACGAGUGAGAGUAACUGUUCAUUCGAUGACGGUAUCUAACCAGCAAGUCACGGCUAACUACGUUCNCGACAGCCGCGGUAAUCUGAGCGGGCUGGCAAGGC
rnacentral:rRNA from 1 species